rnacentral:rRNA from 1 species
GGCUUAAUACAUGCAAGUCGUGGGGUAGAGAGGUGCUUGCACUUCUUGAGACCGGCAAACGGGGGCGGAACACGUAACAACCUUCCUUUUAGAGGGGGAUAGCCCAGGGAAACUUGGAUUAAUACCCCGUAAGAUGUUGGUGAGGCAUCUCACUGAUAUUAUAGCAGCGAUGCGCUAGAAGACGGGUGUGCGUAUGAUUAGGUAGUUGGCGGGGUAAUGGCCCACCAAGCCUACGAUCAUUAACUGGUGUGAGAGCACGACCAGUCACACGGGCACUGAGACACGGGCCCGACUCCUACGGGAGGCAGCAGUAAGGAAUAUUGGUCAAUGGACGCAAGUCUGAACCAGCCAUGCCGCGUGGAGGAUGAAGGUCCUCUGGAU